rnacentral:rRNA from 1 species
AUUGAACGCUGGCGGCAGGCCUAACACAUGCAAGUCGAACGGUAACAGGAAGCAGCUUGCUGCUUUGCUGACGAGUGGCGGACGGGUGAGUAAUGUCUGGGAAACUGCCUGAUGGAGGGGGAUAACUACUGGAAACGGUAGCUAAUACCGCAUAACGUCGCAAGACCAAAGAGGGGGACCUUCGGGCCUCUUGCCAUCGGAUGUGCCCAGAUGGGAUUAGCUAGUAGGUGGGGUAACGGCUCACCUAGGCGACGAUCCCUAGCUGGUCUGAGAGGAUGACCAGCCACACUGGAACUGAGACACGGUCCAGACUCCUACGGGAGGCAGCAGUGGGGAAUAUUGCACAAUGGGCGCAAGCCUGAUGCAGCCAUGCCGCGUGUAUGAAGAAGGCCUUCGGGUUGUAAAGUACUUUCAGCGGGGAGGAAGGCGAUAAGGUUAAUAACCUUGUCGAUUGACGUUACCCGCAGAAGAAGCACCGGCUAACUCCGUGCCAGCAGCCGCGGUAAUACGGGGGGUGCAAGCGUUAAUCGGAAUUACUGGGCGUAAAGCGCACGCAGGCGGUCUGUCAAGUCGGAUGUGAAAUCCCCGGGCUCAACCUGGGAACUGCAUUCGAAACUGGCAGGCUAGAGUCUUGUAGAGGGGGGUAGAAUUCCAGGUGUAGCGGUGAAAUGCGUAGAGAUCUGGAGGAAUACCGGUGGCGAAGGCGGCCCCCUGGACAAAGACUGACGCUCAGGUGCGAAAGCGUGGGGAGCAAACAGGAUUAGAUACCCUGGUAGUCCACGCCAUAAACGAUGUCGACUUGGAGGUUGUGCCCUUGAGGCGUGGCUUCCGGAGCUAACGCGUUAAGUCGACCGCCUGGGGAGUACGGCCGCAAGGUUAAAACUCAAAUGAAUUGACGGGGGCCCGCACAAGCGGUGGAGCAUGUGGUUUAAUUCGAUGCAACGCGAAGAACCUUACCUACUCUUGACAUCCAGAGAACUUUCCAGAGAUGGAUUGGUGCCUUCGGGAACUCUGAGACAGGUGCUGCAUGGCUGUCGUCAGCUCGUGUUGUGAAAUGUUGGGUUAAGUCCCGCAACGAGCGCAACCCUUAUCCUUUGUUGCCAGCGGUUAGGCCGGGAACUCAAAGGAGACUGCCAGUGAUAAACUGGAGGAAGGUGGGGAUGACGUCAAGUCAUCAUGGCCCUUACGAGUAGGGCUACACACGUGCUACAAUGGCGCAUACAAAGAGAAGCGACCUCGCGAGAGCAAGCGGACCUCAUAAAGUGCGUCGUAGUCCGGAUUGGAGUCUGCAACUCGACUCCAUGAAGUCGGAAUCGCUAGUAAUCGUGGAUCAGAAUGCCACGGUGAAUACGUUCCCGGGCCU